rnacentral:rRNA from 1 species
AUUGAACGCUGGCGGCAGGCCUAACACAUGCAAGUCGAACGAGCGGCGGACGGGUGAGUCAUGUAUGGGGAUCUGCCCGAUUGAGGGGGAUAACUACUGGAUACGGUGGCUAAUACCGAAUACUAUCGGCUGAACCCCUAUGGGCUUAGCUAGUAGGUGGGGUAAAGGCUCACCUAGGCGACGUUCGCUAGCUGGUCUGGGAGGAGGACCAGCCACACUGGAACGGGGACACGGCCCAGAGGCCUACGGGAGGGAGCAGUGGGGAAUAUUGCACAAUGGGCGCAAGCCUGAUGCAGCGACGCCGAGUGAGUGAAGAAGGUGUUGGGAUCGGAAAGCACGGUUGUGGGAGAGGCGGUAUAUGAAGAAGAAGCAACGGCUAACUACGUGCCAGCAGCCGCGGUAAUAC